UUUCCGUAGGUGAACCUGCGGAAGGAUCAUUAGAGAUUGGCCUCACGGCCGUUUUCAUCCACACACACACACCGUGAACCGUUCCCCUGCCUCUCGGGGCUUGGGACCAACCAACCAAACAUUGUCUAAAGAACGUAAACAUCGUAAACAAAACAAAACUUUCAACAACGGAUCUCUUGGCUCUCGCAUCGAUGAAGAACGCCAGC
rnacentral:misc_RNA from 1 species